UAUAUACUCCCUCCGUCCGGAAAUACUCAUCGGAUGAAUGGAUGUAUCUAGAUGUAUUUUAGUUCUAGAUACAUUCAUUUUUAUGCAUUUCUCCGACAAGUAUUUCCGGACGGAGGGAGUACGUU
rfam:Triticum aestivum genome assembly, contig: Triticum_aestivum_CS42_TGACv1_scaffold_513441_6BS